rnacentral:rRNA from 1 species
UACAGAGGGGGCAAGCGUUAUUCGGAAUUAUUGGGCGUAAAGGGCGCGUAGGCGGCCUGGCAAGUGGAAGGUGAAAUCCCUCGGCUUAACCGAGGAACUGCCUCCCAAACUGCUUGGCUUGAGACCGGGAGAGGUGAGUGGAAUUCCUGGUGUAGCGGUGAAAUGCGCAGAUAUCAGGAAGAACACCCGUGGCGAAGGCGGCUCUCUGGGACGGUACUGACGCUGAGGAGCGAAAGUGUGGGGAGCGAACAGG